UGGAAGUAACCAGCGUAACAAGGUUUCCGUAGGUGAACCUGCGGAAGGAUCAUUAACAUUAAUUUACUACACACUGUUUUUUUACAACAAAACAAAUCUAUCUAAAAACAAUUCUUUACAAGAAAUUCUUAAAACUUUCAACAACGGAUCUCUUGGUUCUCGCAUCGAUGAAGAACGCAGCGAAAUGCGAUACGUAAUACGAAUCGCAGCUCUCGGAAUCAUCGAAUCUUUGAACGCACAUUGCACCAUUGGGUAUUCCCAAUGGUAUGCUUGUUUGAGCGAAUACUUCCCUAAUCCUCACGGAUUGUAUUGUGUUUGCACGAAAAUAAUGACGACAGUACUCUACAAAACGGUACCGUCAGUACACUCAUUUUUUUUCCUCAAAUCAAGUAGGACUACCCGCUGAACUUAAGCAUAUCAAAAGGCGGGAG
rnacentral:rRNA from 1 species